rnacentral:rRNA from 1 species
UACGAAGGGGGCUAGCGUUGCUCGGAAUGACUGGGCGUAAAGGGCGCGUAGGCGGCCAUCUAAGUCAGACGUGAAAUCCCCCGGCUUAACCUGGGAACUGCGUCUGAUACUGGACGGCUGGAGUUUGGGAGAGGGAUGUAGAAUUCCAGGUGUAGCGGUGAAAUGCGUAGAUAUCUGGAGGAAUCACCCGUGGCGAAGGCGG